UACGGGGGGGGCAAGCAGUUGUUCGGAAUUACUGGGCGUAAAGGCUCGUAGGCGGCCUAACUAAGUCAGACGUGAAAUCCCUCGGCUUAACCGGGGAACUGCGUCUGAUACUGGAGUGGCUUGAAUUCGGGAGAGGGAUGCGGAAUUCCAGGUGUAGCGGUGAAAAUGCGUAGAUAUCUGGAGGAACACCGGUGGCGAAGG
rnacentral:rRNA from 1 species